rnacentral:rRNA from 1 species
AUGGCGGCGGCGGAGGUGACGGUGCCGGCGAACGCCGGAGCCGGGAAGGGAGGGAGUCUGCUAGGUGGGGAUCUGGAGGUGGAGUGGAGAAGAGUUAGAGAUAAGUCAAAGUUAGUAUCCCGGGCAUCGCGUGUGUCACGGGAGUGCAUCAAGAGAUGGAAGAGGAAACUGAUUUUCCAGAUUGAAGAUGUAGAGGACGAGAUUAGGGGGAGGAAGAGAUGGCAGAUCGAGGGAAAGGGAGGAGAUAGUUGCCACGAGACCGUUGAGGCGGGAGGAGUUAUGGGAAAGGCGCCAUUGACGGCGUCCAUGAAAGAGGAAACUAAGUUGAUUUCGGUCUUAUUUUCUCCUGAAUUUCUGCCUCCUCUAGUUAAUUCGUGA